GCUCGCUCUUCCUGGAAGCGCCUCAGGCCCAGAGGCCUCCACAGGUUUGCGCUGCCGCUGCUCGGAUGGCCCUUCCGGUGCUCGGCCUGAGGUCACCUCUGUGCGCCUGCUGAGGCUCGUAUCCCUCAGGGAACAAGAUGGCUCCAGGUCUGCAGGAAAAAGACUUGAGUGAAGGGUCUAGAACACCUACCGAGUGUGGAGACUUUACUAGCCCUGAUGUGCGGCUUUGCCAUGUGCGCAGCGGCCCAGAUUCGAGACUGGCCUCCAUUGCAUUAGAAAGCUGUGGUGCUGUGGUCUCUUUUUUAAAUUUUUACCGGCGCUCUGGCUUAUGGUGGUGCGGAGAAUUGAACCUGUGACUUCGGGGUCUCAGGCUUGAGAGCCUCUGCAUAACCAUCCUGCUAUCUACCCCUGCCAUUCUCUUCAACUUUCUAUCUCUGCCUUCAGAAAAAGAAAGGAGAGCUCAUUUGGGUAGUGCACUGCUUUGUCGUCUGUGCGACCCACCUUUGAGCCCGGCCCCCACAGCACUGGAGGAAGCUUAGGUGCCAUGGUCUCUCUCACUCUUUCUGUCUCUUUGGCCCUGUCUCUAUCUGAAGCUGCAGCGAUAAGGAAAAAGAAAAAAGGAUGCACCAGCCAACUCCCUUGUGUACCAAGGAAUCAAUCAUCGUGGUUAAAAAGAGUCACAGAAUGCUCACACCCAUUCAGCAAGUGUUUAGUGAGGAAAUGGUAAUUAACCUUCAUGGACCCUUAUAUUCUAGUGAGACCAACAGGCGAAUAAGAGAAACUCACAUCACCUUUGUGACUUGGUCACAUUUGAGCAAAGACCUGAACCAGCAAAGCAAAGAGCCAGGGACCUGCUUUCCAGGGGAGGAGGGAAGAGCAAGACCCUAAAGCAACUACUUCUGGCUAUGGGAGCUGACUCCAACUUCUGCUGCAGAAUAGUAGAGGCAGAGGUGAGGUGGUGUCUGAUGUUUCCCUGGGACCUGAUGUUUCCCCGAGACUCCCCGAGACCGGCUCCCCACCUGCAGGGGUCACUUCACAA